AGACGUCUUACAUUAGACUACCCCCGUAGUCCCAGCCGUAAACUAUGCGCGUUAGGUGUAUCGGUGACCACGAGUUACCGAGGUGCCGAAGGGAAACCGUGAAACGUGCCGCCUGGGAAGUACGGUCGCAAGGCUGAAACUUAAAGGAAUUGGCGGGGAGCACCACAACGGGUGGAGCCUGCGGUUUAAUUGGACUCAACGCCGGGAAGCUCACCGGAUAAGACAGCGGAAUGAUUGCCGGGCUGAAGACUCUGCAUGACUAGCUG
rnacentral:rRNA from 1 species